rnacentral:rRNA from 1 species
AUACGUAGGGUGCAAGCGUUAAUCGGAAUUACUGGGCGUAAAGCGUGCGCAGGCGGUUUUGGAAGAAAGUGGAGAAAACCCCGGGCUCAACCUGGGAACUGCCCUUUUGACAGCAAGGCUGGAGUGCGGCCGAGGGGGACUGAAUUUCGGGGGUGACCGGGGAAUGCGUAGAUAUCAGGAGGAACACCGAUGGCGAAGGCAAUCCCCUGGGCCUGCACUGACGCUCAUGCACGAAAGCGUGGGGAGCAAACAGGAUUAGAUACCCUGGUAGUCCACGCCCUAAACGAUGUCAACUGGUUGUUGGGGAUUUAUUUUCUCAGUACCGAAGCUCACGCGUGAAGUUGACCGCCUGGGGAGUACGGCCUCAAGGUUAAAGCUCAAAUGAAUUGGCGGGG